AACGAACGCUGGCGGCAGGCUUAACACAUGCAAGUCGAACGCCCACUUCGGUGGGAGUGGCAGACGGGUGAGUAACGCGUGGAAACAUACCUUUUGCUUCGGAAUAUUCCCGGGAAACCGGGAGCAAUACCGAAUGUGCCCUGAGGGGGAAAGAUUUAUCGGCAAAAGAUUGGUCCGCGUUAGAUUAGGUAGUGGGUGGGGUAAAGGCCUACCAAGCCUACGAUCUAUAGCUGGUCUGAGAGGAUGGUCAGCCACAUUGGGACGGAGACACGGCCCAAACUCCUACGGGAGGCAGCAGUGGUGAAUAUUGGACAAUGGGCGCAAGCCUGAUCCAGCAAUGCCGCGUGAAUGAUUAAGGCCUUAGGGUUGUAAAAUUCUUUCACCGGGGACGAUAAUGACGGUACCCGGAGAAGAAGCCCCGGCUAACUUCGUGCCAGCAGCCGCCGUAA
rnacentral:rRNA from 1 species